rnacentral:rRNA from 1 species
AUUGAACGCUGGCGGCAUGCCUUACACAUGCAAGUCGAACGGUAACAGGUCUUCGGAUGCUGACGAGUGGCGAACGGGUGAGUAAUACAUCGGAACGUGCCUAGUAGUGGGGGAUAACUACUCGAAAGAGUGGCUAAUACCGCAUGAGAUCUACGGAUGAAAGCAGGGGAUCGCAAGACCUUGUGCUACUAGAGCGGCCGAUGGCAGAUUAGGUAGUUGGUGGGAUAAAAGCUUACCAAGCCGACGAUCUGUAGCUGGUCUGAGAGGACGAUCAGCCACACUGGGACUGGGACACGGCCCAGACUCCUACGGGAGGCAGCAGUGGGGAAUUUUGGACAAUGGGCGCAAGCCUGAUCCAGCAAUGUCGCGUGCAGGAUGAAGGCCUUCGGGUUGUAAACUGCUUUUGUACGGAACGAAAAGCCCCGGGUUAAUACCCUGGGGUCACGACGGUACCGUAAGAAUAAGCACCGGCUAACUACGUGCCAGCCGCCGCAGUAA